UACGAAGGGGGCUAGCGUUGCUCGGAAUCACUGGGCGUAAAGGGUGCGUAGGCGGGUCUUUAAGUCAGAGGUGAAAUCCUGGAGCUCAACUCCAGAACUGCCUUUGAUACUGAGGAUCUUGAGUACGGGAGAGGUGAGUGGAACUGCGAGUGUAGAGGUGAAAUUUGUAGAUAUUCGCAAGAACACCAGUGGCGAAGGCGGCUCACUGGCCCGUUACUGACGCUGAGGCACGAAAGCGUGGGGAGCAAACAGG
rnacentral:rRNA from 1 species